rnacentral:rRNA from 1 species
CAGUAGCCACGGGAAUACAGAGGGUGCGAGCGUUAAUCGGAUUUACUGGGCGUAAAGCGUGCGUAGGCGGCUAAUUGAGUCGGAUGUGAAAUCCCUGAGCUUAACUUAGGAAUUGCAUUCGAUACUGGGAAGCUAGAGUAUGGGAGAGGAUGGUAGAAUUCCAGGUGUAGCGGUGAAAUGCGUAGAUAUAGGAAGGAACACCAGUGGCGAAGGCGACCACCUGGACUGAUACUGACACUGAGGUGCGAAAGCGUGGGGAGCAAACAGGAUUAGAUACCCCUGUAGUCCCUGUCUCUUAUAC